rnacentral:tRNA from 1 species
GCCGGAAUAGCUCAGUGGGUAGA